rnacentral:tRNA from 1 species
GGAGGAGUGCGGCGAAUUUGGUUAAGCCACAGGUUUGCUAAACCUGCGUCCUCACGGACUUGUGGGUUCAAGUCCCACCUCCUCCGCCA